GAGUUUGAUCAUGGCUCAGGCCGUAAGCUGGCGGCGUGCUUAACACAUGCAAGUCGAACGGCAUGGCCCCUUUUUUGGGGUGUACGAGUGGCGAACGGGUGAGUAACACGUGAGUAACCUGCCCCAGACUUUGGGAUAACAGUUGGAAACGAUUGCUAAUACUGGAUAUGAGCUGCUGCCGCAUGGUGGUGGUUUGAAAGUUCCGGCGGUUUGGGAUGGGCUCGCGGCCUAUCAGCUUGUUGGUGAGGUGAUGGCUUACCAAGGCUUCGACGGGUAGCCGGCCUGAGAGGGCGACCGGCCACAUUGGGACUGAGAUACGGCCCAAACUCCUACGGGAGGCAGCAGUGGGGAAUAUUGCUUUUUUUACGGAAGUCUGAUGCAGCAACGCCGCGUGCGGGAUGACGGCCUUCGGGUUGUAAACCGCUUUCAUCCAUGACGAAGCUUUUGUGACGGUAGUGGGUAAAGAAGCACCGGCUAACUACGUGCCAGCAGCCGCGGUGAUACGUAGGGUGCGAGCGUUGUCCGGAUUUAUUGGGCGUAAAGAGCUUGUAGGCGGUUUGUCGCGUCGGGAGUGAAAACUCGGAGCUUAACUUUGAGCUUGCUUUCGAUACGGGCUGACUUGAGGGAGGUAGGGGAGAAUGGAAUUCCUGGUGGAGCGGUGGAAUGCGCAGAUAUCACGAGGAACACCGGUGGCCAAGGGCGGUUCUCUGGGACCUUUCCUGACGCUGAGAAGCGAAAGCGUGGGGAGCGAACAGGCUUAGAUACCCUGGUAGUCCACGCCGUAAACGGUGGGUACUAGGUGUGGGGGACAUUCCACGUUCUCCGUGCCGUAGCUAACGCAUUAAGUACCCCGCCUGGGGAGUACGGCCGCAAGGCUAAAACUCAAAGGAAUUGACGGGGCCCCGCACAAGCGGCGGAGCAUGCGGAUUAAUUCGAUGCAACGCGAAGAACCUUACCUGGGUUUGACAUAUGCCGGGAGCGUUCAGAGAUGGGCGUGCCUUUUUGGUCGGUUUACAGGUGGUGCAUGGCUGUCGUCAGCUCGUGUCGUGAGAUGUUGGGUUAAGUCCCGCAACGAGCGCAACCCUCGUCCAAUGUUGCCAGCGGGUUAUGCCGGGGACUCAUUGGAGACCGCCGGGGUCAACUCGGAGGAAGGUGGGGAUGACGUCAAGUCAUCAUGCCCCUUAUGUCCAGGGCUUCACGCAUGCUACAAUGGCCGGUACAAAGAGCUGCGAGCCUGUGAGGGUGAGCGAAUCUCGGAAAGCCGGUCUCAGUUCGGAUUGGGGUCUGCAACUCGACCCCAUGAAGUCGGAGUCGCUAGUAAUCGCAGAUCAGCAACGCUGCGGUGAAUACGUUCCCGGGGCUUGUACACACCGCCCGUC
rnacentral:rRNA from 1 species